rnacentral:rRNA from 1 species
GAUGAACGCUGGCGGCGUGCUUAACACAUGCAAGUCGAACGAAGCACCUUGAUUUGAUUCUUCGGCUGAAGAUCUUGGUGACUGAGUGGCGGACGGGUGAGUAACGCGUGGGUAACCUGCCUCAUACAGGGGGAUAACAGUUAGAAAUGACUGCUAAUACCCCAUAAGACCACAGCACCGCAUGGUGCACGGGUAAAAACUCCGGUGGUAUGAGAUGGACCCGCGUCUGAUUAGGUAGUUGGUAGGGUAACGGCCUACCAAGCCGACGAUGAGUAGCCGACCGGGGAGGGGGACCGGCCACAUUGGGACUGAGACACGGACCAAACUCGUACGGGAGGGAGCAGUGGGGAAUAUUGCACAAUGGGGGAAACCCUGAUGCAGCGACGCCGCGUGAGCGAUGAAGUAUUUCGGUAUGUAAAGCUCUAUCAGCAGAGAAGAAAAUGACGGUACCGGACUAAGAAGCACCGGCUAAAUACGUG